rnacentral:rRNA from 1 species
GACAGAGGGUGCAAACGUUGUUCGGAAUUACUGGGCGUAAAGCGCGUGUAGGCUGUUCGGAAAGUCGGGUGUGAAAGCCCCGGGCUCAACCCGGGAAGUGCACUCGAAACUCCCGAACUGGAGUCCUGGAGAGGAAGGCGGAAUUCUCGGUGGUAGAGGUGAAAUUCGUAGAUAAUCGAGAGGAACAUCGGUGGCGAAGGCGGCCUUCUGGACAGUGACUGACGCUGAGACGCGAAAGCGUGGGGAGCAAACAGG